AUACGGAGGAUCCGAGCGUUAUCCGGAUUUAUUGGGUUUAAAGGGAGCGUAGGUGGAUUGUUAAGUCAGUUGUGAAAGUUUGCGGCUCAACCGUAAAAUUGCAGUUGAAACUGGCAGUCUUGAGUACAGUAGAGGUGGGCGGAAUUCGUGGUGUAGCGGUGAAAUACUUAGAUAUCACGAAGAACUCCGAUUGCGAAGGCAGCUCACUAGACUGUUACUGACACUGAUGCUCGAAAGUGUGGGUAUCAAACAGGAUUAGAUACCCUGGUAGUCCACACAGUAAACGAUGAAUACUCGCUGUUUGCGAUAUACAGUAAGCGGCCAAGCGAAAGCAUUAAGUAUUCCACCUGGGGAGUACGCCGGCAACGGUGAAACUCAAAGGAAUUGACGGGG
rnacentral:rRNA from 1 species